UUCCCAGGCUGCUUUGUUUACCUAAUCAAGCCUGGGUAAUGGCGGGCGCCCCUCCCCCAGCCUGGCUGCCGCCUCGCAGUUUGAUCUCAGACUGCUGUGCUAGCAAUCAGUGAGACUCCGUGGGCGUAGGACCCUCCGAGCCAGGUGUGGGAUAUAAUCUCGUGGUGCGCGGUUUUUUAAGCCCGUCGGAAAAGCGCAGUAUUCAGGUGGGAGUGACCCGAUUUUCCAGGUGCCGUCCGUCACCCCUUUCUUUGACUCAGAAAGGGAACUCCCUGACCCCUGGCGCUUCCCAAGUGAGGCAGUGCCUCGCCCUGCUUCGGCUCGCGCACGGUGCGCGCACCCACUGACCUGUGCCCACUGUCUGGCACUCCCUAGUGAGAUGAACCCGGUACCUCUGAUGGAAAUGGAGAAAUCACCCGUCUUCUGCGUUGCUCACGCUGGGAGCUGUAGACCGGAGCUGUUCCUAUUCGGCCAUCUUGCCAUUUUUCCUUUUUAUUUUGGGUCAUGCAAAGCGCCUACUCCCUUCUGAGAUGACUCCAGACAUUUUCGGGAUUCGUUGAGGGUAUGUAAUAUUCCAUUUUAUGUCAACUUGGAUUGCUGGCUGUAUAGCUCUUUUUCUGGUGUGAUUGCUGUAGGGUUUCCAAUAUGCACACUUAACUUAAUCACAAAUAGUAUUAAGUUACCUUUAAAUAAUCUUAUUUAGUGGAUAAUGAAAGAACUUUACAAAGUAUACUUCUAUAUUAGUUUUCUAUUUCUGCUUAAGAAAUUACAAUGAACUUAAUGGUUUUAAAGAACACCCAUUCAUUAGCUUACAGUCAUGAAAGACGUGCAACUGGGUCCUAUACUCAGAUUAUCAUAUAGCUGAAAUCAAGGUGUUGGCAGCUGAGCUUUUAUCUAGAAGGUUUGGCAAAGAAUCUGCUUCCAAGUUCAUUCAGGUUGUUGGCAGAAUUCAGUUCUGUGUCCUGGUAGCCCUGGUGGUGGGUUGCGCUCAGUGUCGAGUGGCCUCCUAUAUUACUCGUCACCCCGACCCCCAUUUUAUAGCCCCAAUACUUCACCUAAUGCAGAUGGUUCGUGAAUUAUGAUGGCUCGACUUAAAAGUUUGCAACCCUAGAAUGGUGUGAAAGUGAUAUUCAUUCAGUGCACUCCACGAUUUACAUGGGAUUACAUCCACAUAAACCCAUACUAAAUUGAAAAUACUACCAUCUCACACCAGUUAGAAUGGCAAUCAUUAAAAAGUCAGGAAACAACAGGUGCUGGAGAGGAUGUGGAGAAAUAGGAACACUUUUACACUGUUGGUGGGACUGUAAACUAGUUCAACCCCUGUGGAAGUCAGUGUGGCGAUUCCUCAGGGAUCUAGAACUAGAAAUACCAUUUAACCCAGCCAUCCCAUUACUGGGUAUAUACCCAAAGGAUUAUAAAUCAUGCUAUAAAGACACAUGCACACGUAUGUUUAUUGCGGCUCUAUUCACACUAGCAAAGACUUGGAACCAACCCAAAUGUCCAACAAUGAUAGACUGGAUUAAGAAAAUGUGGCACAUAUACACCAUGGAAUACUAUGCAGCCAUAAAAAAUGAUGAGUUCAUGUCCUUUGUAGGGACAUGGAUGAAACUGGAAAUCAUCAUUCUCAGCAAACUAUCGCAAGGACAAAAAACCAAACACCACAUGUUCUCACUCAUAGGUGGGAAUUGAACAAUGAGAACACAUGGACACAGGAAGGGGAACAUCACACUCUGGGGACUGUUGUGGGGUGGGGGGAGGGGGGAGGGGAUAGCAUUAGGAGAUAUACCUAAUGCUAAAUGAUGAGUUAAUGGGUGCAGCACACCAACAUGGCACAUGUAUACAUAUGUAACAAAGCUGCACCUUGUGCACAUGUACCCUAAAACUUAAAGUAUAAUAAUAAUAACAAAAAGAAAAUACUGUAACUCUAAAAUGCACUCUAAACUUACAGUGUUUUCAAUUUAGGAUGGGUUUAGAGAGAGGUUACCCUGUUGUGAGUCAAGAAGCAUCUAUGUUUUUCAUGCUUCAAAUGUCUUUGGAUUCCUCUACUGAGAAAGUCUGAGAAAAUUCUGCUUUUAUGGGGCUAAUGUAAUUAUAUUAAACAUAUCCAGAUAAUCUCGCUAUUUGAAGGUCAAUGAAUUUAGUACACUUAACUACACCUAAAAAAUAUCUUUUGCCAGGUAACAUAGAUAAUCAUGGCUGUGAUAGCUUAUCAUUUUAACAAUCCUGUUUGGGGAUUAGGGCAGGAAAUCUUCGGGUCCAUUUUUGUAAUUAGGCCUACCACAAUUUCCACUUCACUUCAAUUAUUCAUUGUGCUAUUGUUACUAUACAUUUUCUACAUCUGUUACAACUCUCAAGAUACAUUGUUAUUCAUUUUUUAAGUUAGUAAUUGAUUAGCCAAAUUUUAUUUAAGAAAAUUUUAAAAUGAAAAAGACAUCUAUAUAUGCCCACGUACUUAGAAUUUCUAGUACUCUUCAUUCUAUUGUGUGUAUCUGAUUUUUCAUCUGAUGUUAUUUUCCUUCUACCUGAGGAACUUCCACUACCAUUUCUUUAAGUACAAAUGUACUGGCCACAAAUUCACUGUUUUAUUUGUCCGAAAAAUGUCAUUAUCCUACCUUCAUUUUUGAAAAAUACUUUUAGUGGAUAAAGACGUCUAGGUUGACAUUUAUUUUCUUUUAGCUCUUCAAAUUUGCCAUUCCACUGUCUUUUGUUGAACAUUGUUUCAGAUACGAUGUAAACAGAUAUUCUUAUUUUUCCCUUCUAUAUAAUCUGAUCCCCACCUCCCACCCCUUGCUACUUUUAAGAUUUUUUUCAUCACUGGGUUUCAGCAAUUUGAUUAUAAUAGGUCUUGUUGCUGUUUUCUUUGUGUUUAUCUUACUUGGGGUUUGUUGAGCUUCUCAGAUUUGUGCAUUUAUAGCUUAUAUCAAAUUUGGAAUUUUUUCAAUACUUAAUUUCCCAAAUAUUUUUUCUGCACCUCUGUCUCACUCUUUCUGGCACUCCAAUUACAUGUAUGGUAGUCCUCUUGUUAUUGUCCCAGAUGUCACUGGAAUUUUGUUUUACUUCUCAAUGUUUUCUUUUUUUCUUUUCUAUACUUCUGUAUAGAUAGACUCUAUUACUCUGUCUUUUCUUUCAUAGUGUCCAUUCUGCUAUUGAGAAAAAUCUAGUCUUUUUCUUUAAUUUCAGAAAUUUUUAGAUAUAGAAUUUCAAUUUUGUUCUUUAUAAAUUUUUAUUUUUCUGCUUAGGUUUCCUAUUUGUUCACUUAUUUAUUAUGUCUAUAUAUUUAAGUAUUUGAAUACAUUUCUUAUACCUUACUUGUUAAUUACAACACUUUUGUCAUCAUUGGUUGUGUUUUUACAUACUUUAUUUUUCUUCACUAUGUAUUACAUUUUUCUGCUUCUUUGCAUGUCCACUAAUUUUGAUUACAUGCUGAAUAUUGUGAUGUUACAUUGUUGAGAGCCAUAUUUCAUGGUCUUUAUUAAAGAGUAUUGAGUUUUGUUCUAGCAGCUGUCUAAUUUACUGGCUGGUAGGUUUUAUGCUGUUGAGGCCAAAGUAAUACUACUUUUAAUGUGGGGCCUUUCUAGACUUGUAACUGAAUGCUUGUGGAGUUCAGUGAAGCCACUCAUUCUGGAUAAUCAGAACAUUAAUAUCUGUCAGCACUGUGUAAUCUCUGGGGCCUCCAUUCAGUACAAGUCCCCAGUAACUCUUCUCUACCAUGCCUCAUGAAGUCUUGCCCUGUAUAGACGCAAGUUAAUAUUGUACCAAAAUCUCAGACAUCUCUGCAGAUUUCUGGAGAUCUUUCUCUGUAUAGCUUGCUCUUCUCUGGUUUCAAACCCCAAAAGUUUCUGAUGCCUCAGCAGCCAUUAACUCUGGUAUUUUUUUUUCCCUACCCAGCAAGACUAUUGCUUUUUUUCCAGGAUACUUUUCUAUGCUGCACUUUGCACCUCAUUUCAUCUGUAUCCUUUCUGUAAAAAAAUCACAGACCUUGGAUUGUCUGGUGUCCAAUUUUUAAUAAUGAUUGAUUCACAUAUUUCUAAUUGUUCAAAGUGAGAUGGUAAUCCAAUGCCCAUUCUUCUGUCAUGGCUAGAACUGAAAUUUGGCCAUUUAAAAAUUUUGAAGUUAUUUAUUUGAUAAGAACAUACUUUAGGUAUUAAACUCAUUUGAUUACGUGAUUACUCAAGUUCCUGUAUGUCAUAAGAGAUUUUAUCUGGGAUAUGCAUUUCAGAAUACUCUAUCGACUCUGUGUGUUAAGGAGACUACAGCAUUCUUAAAUUGAAAUAUUUCAUGCCAUCUUUAGUUUUAUUUAUUUUGCCUUGGGGAACUCGAUUUCCAAGUCUUGCUCUCCACUUGUUUUCCCCUUGUGGCUUAAUGUUGAAAUUUAGAUUAGGUUUCCUAGUAACAUCUUAAAAAUGCUUCAUUUUACUCACCAUUAUUUUUAUCUUUUGUGACCUUUCACUUGCUUGUAAUUCUCCACAACUCUUCUCUAGUUAGCUUAUUGCUAAUUGCUAAAGUGGACCCAGUUGUAGAAUGACUAAUGUAAAGCUAGUUACCUAUGAACAUUCUUCUACCAAUUUUAGGGUGUCUAGAGAUUAUUGUUCUAUAUCUGUAUUCUCUAAUGUAUUGAUUAGCCAAGUCCUUUUAGUAAGUGGUACCUAUAGUAACUCUAAUGGAGUUUUGUGUCUCGUGAUGCACUCAUUCAAUUGAUUAAACUCAUAGCCAGUCACUUAAAUCUGUCUUUCGUUUCCAGAAUGAUUUCAUUUCUGUGUCAUUAGAGUGGAUGUGUUAGCUAUGGACAUACUAUUUGCCAGGCUGCAAGUACACAACACAGUUAUGAGGCUUCCCCUCGUUUAACCAGAUCUCUAAAAUGCCUUAAAUACCACUCAAGACUUGUAUCAUGAGAAAUCGCUUUUAGCAUUCUAAUUUUAUCUUUUUAUUAAUAUAACAGUAUCUGCUUCUAUAGUAUAAAUUCUGUUUAGUCAAGCAAAUCUAACUUUUUUUUCCCUUGUGAACAUAUUCCUCCUUAUGUUUUAUAAUUUGGACAAGAUGUAAAUUCUUCCUCUCCUGCAUUUUCUUUCUAUUUGCUAUCUAUCAUUAUAUAUUAUUCUUAGUAGGUGGCUCUCUCUUAGGGUAUCAACUUUGCUAAACUCUCCUGGCAAUGAGUUGGCAGAUGAGGGAUCAAAAAGAAGAAUUACUGUUUUUCCAACUAUUUAUCUUUGGGACUUUUUUAUUUAGCAUGAUUAUCUUCCCUUCUUUUCUCUUACUGUAUUUGACAAAUACUUAGGUACUAAACAUGAAAGCACUUUUUUUCUGUCCUUUCUCUUAAGAUAGUUAAGCUCAGCUGAUAAUGUCUCAGUAGGGACAGCAGUCUCGCUUCAACUGCAUUGGAUUUUAAUUGCUCCCAUCUUAUGUUUUCUGUAAUAGUAGCCAUAGAUGUGUUUUUAAAUAGAUUUAUGGCUUUCUUUCUCCUUCACACAAUAAAAAUUUAGAGAGAGACGAGUUAACAGCUCUCUGCUCCCUUAUUGUCUUCCGUGCUCUUCCUCCUACCAAAAAAGGUCUUUUCUAUUUCUGUUUAAAAUAUGGGUAAGUGCAACUAUGGUACUAAUAAAAAUUAAAAUUAUAGAUAAAUAAAAAUGUGAGUCACUCAAGUCAAUUUCUUCAUUCAGAGAAUGUCAGAAUCUUGUUGUUGUUUUAGAGGUGGGGUCUUGCUGUGUUGCUCAGGCCAUAGUGCAGUGGCUAAUCACAGUUGUUGAUUGUAGCCAACUACAGCUUCCAACUGUUGGAGGCUACAGCUCUAGCCUCCAACUUCUGGCCUCAAGCAAUCCCCCCACCUCAGCCUCCUCAGCAACUGGGACUAUAGGUAUGUGCCACCAUGCCUGGCUACUUUUUGGUGAAUAUGCUAGCAUCUGGUGUUUAUAGACCACAGUAGUGUAUAAGUAUUUCCACCCUGAAGCCUCACUCUAGAUGGUCAGUCACAAUGAAAGAAAAUCUAACACCAACUGCAGCUUCAUAUAUAUUUAUUACCAAGCAGGUACAACAGCCAUACAACUUAUCUAUAGUCCUGUCCCAAGUGUACUCAACAUCUUUCUUGAAAGACUUGCUCUGUGACUAAUGUGAUGAUAUUCUUAUAGCAUACUGGGCAAGCCUCAUGUCAAAGCAGGAAGCAGGAUCCUCCAAACUCUGUAUGUAAGAAAUAUCAUCUUCCUUUAUGUUCCUAAAUCGAGGGUAUUCUCUUUUGAGUUCCCCUCCUCUUCUUUGUCUUAGCAGGAGAUGAGACUGUAUUUUGUCUACUCUCUAGAUAAAAUUAAGAUUCCUUGGGUCUUAAGCAGAUGGAAAUAUCUGGGGUUGGAGCUUGGCAUUCAGUUCACAUUUAAUAGGCCUUCUGUCUAAACUUGCUCACAAGGGUUGUGAGAAUGGGUUGCUCUCUGUGCCAAAUUUUGAACCUAGGAACUUUUCUUUAACAUCACCACAGUAUUUUAUGAUUGGUACCAGGCUUCCUUAGAUCACUUUAUCAGGGGUGUACUUCAAUCAUUCUUGUAUAGGAGCUAGUCUCUAUCUUUAUCUGGUACUAGGUAAGUCAUCAAGUGUUAGUCAUCGGAACCCUCCACCCCAACCUGCCUGUUUUCAAGAGCACAAAAAUGUGAAAAAAAUCGAAACCUUGUUAACUUCUCCAGGAUUUUAUAAUCAAUAAUUAUAAUUUCAAUGGGCCUGUAAAGUUUGUGUUUUACCAUGUUGUUUUAUUUUGAAUUACGUGAAUGGGUGAGCAGGGACACUUAAAUCUUUUAAAACCUAGAAAGAUCUUCAUCUGGCCCUAGUACCCGAGAAUAAACACCCCACUCUUCCCAGCUUCUGUAGUGUGAUUUCACCCUCAUUUCCCAUCUCUCACCCACUAGGACCACCUUUCAUUCCAAAAGGAAUGCUGGCUUUUGGUUCUGGGGCAAAAACUGUCAGUUUUCUUCCAAUUAAUUAACUGUUAAAAACAUGUAAGUUUUUGUGGUUUAUUUUCUUGAAGAUUUUGACAGCUUUCCAGCUUGUUCUGUGUUGUGAGGUACAUUGCAUGUAUCCUUAAGUGUAUUAGCAUGGGCAUAUUUUUAUGUAGUUUUAAAAUUUGUCAAGUGAAAGUCAACAAAUAUUUUAAUUAACUAAAAUUUUAAAAGAUCUAUGAAAGCUACUGUUUAUAAUAGCUUUAAAAUCAUGGAAUUUUAACUUUUAAAAAAGUUUAAAUCCUACUUUUUUCUUAAUUAUUGUUUUAACCCAAGUAGUGUACUUAAUUCUAUUUGUUUUAAUUAUAAACAUAUUAUGAAUAAGAGAAGUUUAAACCCUCAGUACCUUGCCUGAUCGCUUAUCAUUAUUUAUGUUGAUAUUUAGAUAUAAAUACUUUGAAAAAAGAAAAAUAAGUUGAAUUUAAAUGCUCUGAGGCUGAAAAGAAUGAGUAUACUUUAAGUUGCUAAGAUUUUUUUGGGCAAGCCAUGGUUUUGUUAUUUUAACAAAAAGUCCUUAAAGCAAAAGUAGAAGUUCAUAUAUUUUUAAACUGUAAUUUAUGGAGAACUAUUUUGUCUGGAGCUAAAACUAAUUAAUACUUUAAUAACUUUUUCUAUGAUUUUUUUUUUCAGAUAAAUCGUAAAGUUAACUCGAUCAUUUUAUAUUCUUACGGAAGGAAAAAUAUCAUGUUCAUCAGAUGUUUUAUAAAUAUUUUUCUAUGGAAAGAUAGAACUUAAUUAAAUUUUCUGUUCCAUAUAUGAUCCAUUUCAGGGUGUCCAAUCUUUUGGCUUCCCUGGAUCACAAUUGGAAGAAGAAUUGUCUUGGGCCAAAUACAAAAUACACUAACACUAACAAUAGCUGAUGAGCUAAAACACACACACACACACACACACACACACACACACACAUCUCAUAAUGUUUUAAGAAAGUUUGCAAAUUUGUGUUGGGCUGCAUUCAAAGCUGUUCUGGGCUGUGUGCAGCCUGAGGGCUGCGGUUGGACAAGCUUGGUCUAUAUCUUGCUGUCAAAUAUGAUAGCCACUAACCACAUGUGGCUAUUUAAAUAUAAAUUAAUUAAAAUUAAGUAACUUUUAAAAACCAGUCCUUCAUUUGCAUUACCUACAUUUCAAGUGCUCAAUAGUAGCUAUGUUUGAAUACCACAGAUAGUAAAUAUUUCCACCAUCACCUAAGUUCUGUUGGUCAGUGCUGAUGGCCAAUUAUAUGAGACUAUCAAUUUAUAAUUAAAUGCAUAAUAACAUAAUUUUUGUUUGUUAGCAUCUACUAAUACAUUACAACAUGUUGUAUAAGUACAAAUAUCUGUUUAAUUAGAUCUCAGAUGAUGAAAGCAAAACCUUGUAAUUGUUUUCUGGAGUUUUUUUGAUUAUUCAUAUGUCAUUUCUGAGUAGUCUGUAUUUAUAUAUUAAAAAUGGAAAACAUAGGCAGAUAUCAUCAGUGUUUGUUUAUGUUUAAAAAUAACUUCUAGCAUAUUUAAAAUACGACAAACAUAAGUAUUUAGAAAGGAAAAGUCAUUCAUAUGAAAAUGGGAGAAUAUAGUGGUUUUGAUUGACAUUGUUUUAAAAGCCAAAAUAGAUUCUCCAGUAGAGCCAUUUUUUUUUUUUUUUAACCCUGAAAGAGCAGGUUCUACAACACUGGCCAAAAUUUUGUUUAGCCAUUUUUUGCAUAGAUUUCAUUAUGGACUCAACCCUUCCAGCAACCUGUAGAAUGGAAACAGUUUUCAAACCAAGGCCAAUGAAAUUUGAGGAGACCAGCCACUAACACUGCAUGUUUAAACUCAACUUGUAUUCUAAUUUCUAGAAUAUCAGUAUCUGAGCUCUGACUGGAUUGAACUUCAGAGGUCAUUUAAUGUCUCAUCCAUAGAUCUUGAAGUGGACAGUGACUUGCCUAAGUGGACAUAAGUGCACAGUGGCAGAGCCAGAGCUGAACUCAGAUUUAGUGACCUCUCAUCUCAGGCCAUUCUCUGAUUUGGUACUUGAGGUUGGUAUUGCUUCUCUGCACCACACUUGACUCCAGUGUGUGAUAAUUCUGACUGAUUUUGAUUUUAUAACUGUUAAAAAAGUAUGCACUAUGGAGUGUAAAUGAAGAGGAAAAAGUAGAACCACUUAAGUAAUACAUUACAUUUGAAGGAAAAAUUUAUGUGAAUAAGUUUUAACAUAAAAUCUUAAAAAUUUAUGGGUCUUAAGUAUAUAUUUUUGGAUAUUUAUGAUAAAUUGAUACAGAAAACAGGCAAAAAUAACAUAUAUAGUAUGAUUCCUUUUAAAUAAAAUGAGUAUCAUAUAGAAACUAGACUAGAGAAUAUAUUCCAAAUUGUUAAUAAUGGCUGGGUCUGAGUAUUAUGGGUAAUUACAAUUUUUUUCCAUUAUAUCUGCCUUCUAUUCUGAUAACAAAAAUAAAUUUUAAUUUGUAUUGCAUUUUUAUUCAGGAGUGAAUAAAUAGUUUAGAUAAAUUUUUGAGCAAAAUUAGAGUAUUUUGAAAAUAGCUAAAAUUUGUUAGAUUUUAAAGAGAAGACUAAACUGUGAUUAAUACCUUAUCUCUUACUAAUUUAAAAUAUUCUUAUAUAUUCAGGUUUAUAAUUUAUAAAAAUACCUUAAGAAGGUUAAUAUUCUCUAAGAAAUACGAAUGAAAUUUACCUAAUUAGAAAUUGUCUUUAGCUGUUUAUUUAAUCUUCUGGUAUUAAUAACAACACUCAGAAUUUUUAUCUUAAACCUUUCUUAACACCAUAAUUAUCUUCUGAAUUUAAAUAAUAUCUAAUAGCUUCUACCUUUCUUUUUAACUUGGUUUGAAAGUAUUUUCUAUGUAUAUUGUACUUGUCAUAUUCAUGUAUAUUCACUAAUUAUUUCACAUAAUUUAACCCUUAAAUUGCACCAUUAUGUAUUGAAUAUAUUAUCCUGCAUGGUUCAUUAAUUGUUUCUUGUUCACAUCUUGUUCUUCUACUUUUUGUAAAGUUUUCAGGGUUUUGAUCCUAUGUGACAGGUAUUUUAUGCCACCCAGGAUUUUAAUAUAUCAUGGUAGGGUCUGGACAAGCACUUGUUGAUGUAGUGCUUACCCAGCUCUGAGACGCUGAGGAACUGGAUAGUUAGAUUGUAGGGAAAGGUUUUCCUCUAGUUGGUACUCUUCCCACUGGAUCUGGGAGCUCUGCCACAGUGUCAAAUAACACAAAACCUUUGGGGUGUUUGGCUAUUGGGUAGGAUUUUAAAAGUACCUUUUCUUAAAAUUCUUAAUGUAAAAUUAUUUGAAAUUUACCUAUUCAAGACUUAGGAUAAAGUGGACAACUACACAGAAUGGUCUCUGCUUUUAGAAGUGAUAUGGACUGUAUUAGUUAAGGUUCUUCAGAGACACAGAACCAAUAGACAAUACAUAGAUAUAUAAAAGAAGAUUUAUUACAAGAGUUGCCUCGGCUGGGUGCAGUGGCUUAUACCUGUAAUCCUAGCACUUUGGGAGGCUGAGGCAGGCAGAUCACCUGAGGGCAAGAGAUCAAGACCAGCCUUGCCAACAUGGUGAAACCCUGCCUUUACUAAAAACACAGAAAUUUGAUGGGCUUGGGGGUGCAUGCCUGUAAUCCUAGCUACUUGGGAGGCUGAGGCAGGAGAAUUGCUGGAACCCGCUGCAGUGAGCCGAGAUCACCCCACUGCCCUCCAGUCUGGGUGACAGAGCGAGAUUUCAUCUCAAAAAAAAAAAAAAAAGUUGGCUCAUGUGAAUAUGGAGGCUGAGAAAUCCCAUGAUACACUGUUUGCAAGCAUUCCUUGAGAACAAGGAAAGCCAGUGGUGUGAUUCAUUUCAAGUCUGUAGUAAGCCUGAGAACUAAAGGAGCCAAUGUGUAACUCUCAGUCAGAAACCAAAUGCUUAUGGGCAGAAGAAGAUGACUGUCCCAGCUCAAGAAGAGAGACAGAGAAUUUGCCCUUACUUGGACUUCUCGCUCUCACCUGGCCCUCAAUGGAUUGGAAGACGGUCAUUUACAUUGGUGGGCAUGGGUCUUCUUUACUCAGUCUACCUAUUCAAAUGAUAAUCUCUUCUGGAAACAUCCUCACAGACACAUCCAGAAAUAAUGUUUUUCUAGUUAUGUGAGCAUCCCUUAGCCCAGUGAAGUUGACACAUAAAAUUAGCCAACACAGAGACAAGUGAACAAAAGGUGACCAUUUGUGACAGGGAGAUAGCGGGUGCCUCCCUGGAGGGUAAGAGAGUCCUCUCUGCUUCUCGUCCCAGUACUUCCUUCCUUCUGCCUUUUCUUUCCAGUCUGACCAGCCUAGCUCCCAAUAGGAGAGAAUGGAGGAGAAUAGGCCAGGAAAUAAAAAAUAUGGGAUUAGCCUGAAAAUGAAGACAGCGGGUGAACUGGAAGAGGUAAUCUGAGAUGAUUUCUGGUUGCUCUGAAGGGGAAUUAGAGCUCUAAUAGGACAGGGAAAGGCACUUCCUUGUUUCACUUCAUCUCAAGCCCUAAAAAUCAAAACUCCCUGGAAACAUGAAAACCAGUAGAUUCAACGUGUAAUCAUUCUCACAGAAGAGUCAGUGCAUACCUCCUAUCUUUUUUAUAGGUUGCUUUUUUCUUUUCAAUAUCUGGUUUGAUUGAGCCUUCCCUACUUUGCUGCCACUUCCCAAAUUGGCCUCUUUGGAUUGGUAUAGAUUCUCUGACAAGGUGUUUAUUUAUGGCUACAUAGAUUUUCUGUCUCUUGCCCCUCUGGGUGUGCAGUUGUGUUUUAUUUUCCCUUUUUCUUCUUUUGUUUGCUUGCUUGUUUCACUCCUUGAUAUUUCCUCAUAAAGAAAAAAAAUGUUUUCUCUUUUGCUAGCUUACUUUUUUCCCCCAAACAUUUCGGAGCAACUUUUUUUUUCAAUAUUUUACCUCUCAUAUGUUUACCCUCUGUGAUAAAAUACACUGCCUGCAUGGGGAAAUUCCUAUAUGCAAAGUAAACAGUUGUCUUUAUUUUUAAGUCAUGAAAAUAAUCAACGUGUUUUAGAAUUCUGUUACAAUAUACCUCACUUACCAAAUUUGGUAAGAAACAAAUGUGUGCUUAUUUUGGGGUAUUUCCAAUUUUAGAUGUAACACUUUAUGUUGAGGAAUAUUAGUAAGUUAAAGUUUCAGAUGUCUCAUGCAACAGAGGCUUAAUAAUAAGCAUAAAGAGAGAUAUUAUUUAAAUAAAACUGGAGUGAAUUGAGAUGGAAAGAGCAGGUUUUUUUUUUUUUUUUUUUUUUUUUUUUUUUGUCCCUGUCCAAUACCCCCUUCUCCGGCAGGUUUUUUUUUUGUCCCUGUCCAAUACCCCCUUCUCCAGCAGGUAUCUUUCAUUAUUUCUCAAGGCACAAUAGCUAUGGAUGACUAGAAUUUCUGUAAUUGUUCUUCUCUUAUUUCUUUUAUUCUUAUAGUUUCCAACUAAUUGCCUUAUAACAGUUGUUUCCAAACAUGGAAAUCCUGAUUUACUUGAUCUUCUAGGCAAACAAACAAACAAACAAACAAAAAAGUCUAGUUCUUGGAUAACUGACUCAUUAACAAUGAACAGUGUCUCAAGUCAGCCCUCUCAACCUCCCAUCUUCACAGCUGUGUCCUUGCUGUUAAGCCAGGCUUAUUGCCCAAAAUAGGAAUUGUCUGUUUGCCAAUAAAUAAAUAACUGUGGUAUUAACAAGUAUGCUAUAAACUCUAAUGCAAUGGUCUAUGAACUGGAGUUUGAGAACCAGUGCUUUAGGUGAAUUUUUAAAAACUUUUCUCAUAGAGACCUUUCCUCACUGAUAUAUAGAAUUUAGCUAGCAGGGUCUUCAUCAGCCAAUGCUGAAUGCAUUAGAGCUUUUAACUUAGAAAAUGGAGGAAAAAUAUUCCAGAAUAAGAUAAUAUAAGAAACCUUUUACUUGGGCCGUCUUGUCAUGAGAAUGCCAUGGUGGUGGGUGUGGGCAUAGCUUGAAGGGGGAUAUAGAAGAAAUUAGAGUCUUACAGAACUGUGGCUUAUAAUUGUGGAAGUUUUCCUCUUUGAGUUCAGCUCUGACUGAGACAUUGCCUAACUCCCAAGGCAUGCUGACUUCCACAUAGUCAAUGACAUUGUGUGGGUGUGUGAUUUUGAAAGCUAGUGUUUUCCUCAGUAUCUACAAAGAUGAUGGCUACUAAAACAGAAAAAGUGACCUAGAAUAAAGAACAUCGCAGAUAGCAUGUAGGGCCAUCAUAGGGGCCCUCUAAAUUUGGAGAUAAAAAUCAGUGACUGAUAAUAAAAAUGGAAAAAUGACAAAGAUAUGAUCUCUGUACAAAAGAAUAAUUUUUAAGUGUAUUGCUUAGGAGACUAGAAUAGUCUGAUGCUAUCUAGGAUUUAUUCUCAGGACCGGGACACAAUGAAGAGGGAAGUACCAAAAUCACUUGUGCUAUAUGAUUAUAUAAGGCUGUGUUAAAUGGAGCAUUGUUCUUACGUGGAGCAUAGGAAAAUUUGAAUCUUGAAGUAUACAAAUAUUUCUCUUUGUCCCUGUCAUAUGCAGGGGUAUGGUUCCUAAAAAGACAGCAUGGUGAGUCCAGUGGCUUCCUUGUCAAUUUUACCCCAUGGUAGAGAUGGGUACAUUAGGCUAUCAGAGCUUAAUAGCUCCAUACAAUAGAAAAUUCCCAGAUAACUCAAUUUUCUCUGAUUCAGGGUCUACCAAAUGACCUACUUAAAGUAAUUGUCAUUCCACUUACAUUUUCUGAUAGGAGAUGAAAGGUUCUGAUCAGAUGAAAAGGAUCAUUUGGCCCACUUGGCUGUUAUCAUCACAAGUAUUGAGAAAUAACUUUCUACUCAAGUUUAUCAGUCUUUUGUGACUUUUGGUUAUCGUGAAUUAGUCUUCAGUUGCACUGAAAACAAACAAACAAACAAACAAACAAAAAAACCAAAAUGUUGCUGAACCAAAAAACAGAACCAUGUCUUGACGUUUGCUGAAACUCUUAAGGUAUGCUCCCUGUCGGUUUUUGUCCUGAACAGUUGAGAAGCCUAGACUUUUGAUUUGAGAGUGCAUCCUGGGUUUGCUAUAAUCUAAUAAUAAUUAUAUUACUGAUGCAAAUAAUAAUAAUACCAAUAAAUAUUAUCUUACAACUACCUCACACUUAAAACUGAUCAAUCCUGGACUGAGUGCCUUGUACACAUUUUCUUACUUAGUCCUCAUGAGACUCUAUGAACUAGACACUGUAGAAAUCCAAUAUUCAGAUGAGGAAAGGGAAGCUUAGUGAGAUUAAGUAACUUGCCUUAAUGCCAUAUAGCUAGAGAGUGAUGGAACUCUGACUUGCUUAUUUCACCUAGAAAAAGUUAUAUCAACUUAACUAAAAAUCUAAAACUUAGUACUCAGCAUCAAUUUAUCUAUAAUGCUCAUGGAUUUUCCCAACUUUGUGUUAGUUUAGUCCUCAGGCUGGCUUCUAUCACAACAGUAAAAUAAUUGUCAGGAGCUUCAAGGGGCUACAAGUCUGGGUCACUUCCAAUGAGAAUGGAGACUCUCUUCCGGGAGUUCUUUUAGACUAGUGAAGAAGCUUCUUUUCCAGAUAUCCUCAGCAAAUGUCUCAUUGCCCCCAGUUGAGUGAUGUGUCAAGGCCUGAAUACAUUUCUAUAACCACGGAGAUUAACUCAAUCAGGGUUAAGCCAGAGGUACAGUUAGCAUCUCUUAAGCCACAAGAAUUCUAGCUACAUGCUAGAAAGACAACAAUAGUUAUAUACCACACACAUUUAUAGGUAUAAAAUCUUGUUUCAACAGUGUUAUUUAAUGAAUAUUUAGGCUGGAGUCCUUCCCUCAAUAGAACAAUGUAAUUUAUGAAAAAAUCAAUUAUUUAAAGAAGGACAUUUUAUGAGGUUGAAUAGCAUCCUCCCUUUUCUCCCCAAAUUUAUGUCCACUCAGAACCUGAGAAUGUAACAUUAUUUGGAAAUAGAGUCUUGGCAGAUGUAAUUAGUUAAGAUGAGGCCAUUCUGGGUUAGGGUGGCUCCAAAUCCAAUGAGUGGUGCCCUUGUAAGCAGGCCAUGUGAACACACAGAUACACAGAGAAACACAGAGGGAAGAAGGCUUGUGAAGAUGGUGGCAGAGAUUGGACUUAUACUGCCUCAAGCCAAGGAACAUCAGAAGCCACCAGAAUCUUGAAGAGGCAAGGAAUAAUCUUCCCCUGAAGACUUAGAUGAGAGCAUGACCCUGUCAGAACUUGAUUUUUGUAACCUUCAAAGCUACAAAGAAUACAUUUCUAUUUUUUAUAGUCCACCCAGUUUGUGGUACUUUGUUAUAACAGCUCUAGGAACCUAAUACAGAUACCAUGGACAGAUCUAUCUGACAGAUAUGCAAUGGGAGAAUAUAUCUGAAGUUUAAAACUGACAAACACAACAAAUCAAUAAGAAAAAACUAAAUAAGCAAAAAAAAUGGAUAAAAGAUUUAAAACAGGCAAUUUAUAUAAAAUGAAACUAAAUCAAAUACCUGGAGAUGCUCAAAAUAAUUAUCAAUCAGAAGUGCAAGUUAAAAUAUCACUUUUCACUGAUUAGCCUAGCCAUAAUUUAAAAAGAUAGAUGUGUCAACUCUUGAUUGAUAUUUGAGGAUACAAGAACCCAUAUGUCUUGUGGAGGGAGUGUAGACUGAGCCAGCCAUUCAGAGAGCAAUGUGGCAAUCUUCACUGAAAUUAAGUAUAUGCAUACACUUUGACCUAUCGAUUCUGCCACCGAAUGUAUAAGCCAAAGAAGUUCUUACAUAAGAUCAUAAGGGGACAUCUGUGAAUGGAAAUGUUAUUGCAAUAUUAUUGUUGUUGGUCAGAGUUGGAAGCAACCUGGGUGUCUAUCAUGGAGAGAGUAGAUAGGUGCUAUGGACUGAAUGUUUGUGUCCCUCCAAAAUUUAUGUCUUAAAAUCUUAACCAGCAAUAUGGUGGUAUUAGAAGGUGGGGCUUUUGUGAGAUAAUUAGGUCAGGAGGGUACUAGUGACUUCAUUAAGCAGACUUCAGAGAGCUUUCUGGCUCACCUUCCACCAUAUAAAAACACAAAGAGAAAUUGGAGGUCUGCAACAUGAACGAGAACUUCACCAGAACCUAACCAUGCUACCACCCUAAUCUCUCACUUCCAGCUUCCAGACCUAGGAGAAAUCAGUGUUUUUUGUUCAAGUCAUCCAGUCUAUGGUACUUUAUUAUAGUGACCUGGACUAACUAAAACAAUGGAUAAAGUGUGAUGAUUGUACAUCAUGGUAACUUACCAUGUAGCAAUUAGAAACAAUGAAUUAGAAACACAACAAUGAAUGGAUAUUAAAAAGAUGCCUGUGAAAAAGAAAGGAACAUAAUGAAAUAUAUCACACAGUAUUACUUAUUUAAUUAAUAAUAGCUUUCCACUAAUCAGAGCACAUUUUACAAGAACACAUAAAAAAGGAUUCACUAAACACAACAGAAUGAUCACCUAUUAAAAUGGUGGGUAUAGCUAAGAAGGAAAUAAGAAAAGGCCUUACAUGGAUCAAUAGUAAUGUAUAAUAAAAUAAGAAGCAAGAUUUACUUAACUCUAUUUACUUAAGAUAUAAAAACACAAAGUUCACUUUAUAAAAAUUGGUCACCAAAUUAUAAUUGACUUUUGAAUAGCAUGGAGAAUAGGGGCACUGACACCUCGAGCAGUUGCAAAUCCAUGUAUAAAUUGACACCCACCAAACUUAACUACCAAUUGCCUACUGUUGACUUGAAGCCUUACCAGUACCAUAAAGAGUUAACACACAAUUUUGUGUGAUAUAUGUAUUAUGUACUGUAUUCAUACAGUAAAACAAGGUAGAAAAAGGAAAAUGUUAUUAAGAAAAUUACAAGGAACAGAACGUAUUUUACUAUUCAUUUAGUGGAAGUGAAUAAUCAUAAAGGUCUUCAUUGUCAUUGUCUUCGUGUUGAGUAGGCUGAGGAGGAAGCAGAGGAGGGUUGGUCUGGCUGUCUCAGGGGUAGCAGAGGCAGAAUAAAAUCUGCAUAUAAAUGGACCCACAGAGUUCAAACCUUUGGUGUUCAAGGAUCAACUCUACUAGGCAUUUUUAUUUUUAUUUUAUUGCCAUUGUUCAUUUUUUUUGAAAAGAUAUUUAGAACUGAGCUCAGUGUAUAAUAAAAAGCAAUGCACAUUUUUACCUUAUUCCAGGGUUCAAAUAUCGUUUUUGGUUUUCCCUUUUCUCUGUUGUUCUCAGUCUCCUUUACUUUUCAUCUUCUGUCACCCCUACUUCUUAAAUGUUAAUAUUCCUCAGGAUUCCAUUCUUGGUCCUUAUUUCUUUGUUCUACAAAUAUUUCCUGGGAAUUUGAGUCGUGUCUAUGACAUCUAUCUACCUCUAGCUUCCAUCUUUCCCAGGAUUACUGAUCUGCAAUAUCUCUUAUGUACUCUAAUCUCAGCAGGUGUGAUAUUGAACCCAUUUUCUCUUUGUCUUUGCCCCACAAAUGUGGUCUUUUAAAAUGAUAUUAUCUCAAUAUCUCAAGCUAAUUUGAAAAACGUCUUAGAGUUGCCUCUUUUUCGCACUCCAUAUAUCAAAUCCUAUUUAUUGUACUUCAGAAAUACCACUAAACCCAGCUUCUCUUAGUAUCUUUAUAGCCACAGAAGGUCACUGAAAGGCUUUAAGCACAAAAGUGGUACAGGUAGAAUUGUUUCAAGAAUGAUUACUAUGCUUGCAGCAAGAGGAAUCUGUUGAAAAGUUGGAAGUACAGAGACAGGCUGGGAGUUAUUAAUGAAAUCCAGGAAAGAGACUAUGGAUGCUUGAACUAAGGUGAUGGCAGUGGAGACACAGGAAAAUUAAUUCAUUUCAUAGAUAAGUUAGUAAUGGACUUGAUAUGAGUGGUGCUGAAGCUAGGAAGAGCUGUGAAGGGUGAGUCUCAAGUUUCUGUCAUAGCAACUGGGAGAUUAUUGUGCAAUUUUCUAAAGAGAAUCGGGAAGGAGUAAUGGUUGCUUGAGGGAAAGAUUGUAUGCCUGCAGUCAUGGAUAUGUUAUAUUGAAGGAAUUUUGGCAUAAAACUAAAAGUGUUUAUAAAUAAAUUGUAUAAAUAGAUCCAAUUAGAAGAACUGAGGUCCAGGCUAUUGAUGCAAAUUUGAAAGUGGUUAGAGUAUUGACGCAAUUGAUGCCAUGGGGGAUGGAGCACCCAUGAAGAAAGUGGAGUGUAGGGCACAGUUCUGAACAACACUUGCAUUUAAUGAUUGGUAGAGGAGAAGUCAUUCGCAAAAGAGACAGUGAAUGAAAUACAUUACAGAGCAAAGCCAGAGGAAAGAGAGGAAAUAGUGCUUCAAGUCUGCAAGCAUGUCCAGGAAUGUCAAAUGUUGUUGAAGGGUAGCAGGAUGAGUGCUGAAAUGAGGUCCAUGGGAUUUGCCACUUAUGGGUCACUUGAGUGAAGCUGGAUGGAUAGAAUUUGGGUAUAGGACUGAGAGGGAGGUGAGAUAAUGGUGGCAGCAAGUGUAGACAACAUUCAGGAAGUUUGGAUAAGGAAAGGGGGGAAUAUAUAUAAAAGGUAGUUGGAAGGUUAUGUAGGAUCCAAGGAGUGUUUUUGUUUCAUUUUGUUUUGUUUUAAAGAUGUGAAGCGAGCUGUUUAAAAUGCUUAUGGGUAGAAUAACCUAGGGACUUUUUUUUUUUAAUCUAAGAAUUUGAUUGCUACUUACGUUUCCAUGUAGUAUGAUAAUAAUACACUUACAAGUAAAACUCUGCCAGUAGAUGUUGAUUCCCUUGAAAGGAGGGAUGAUGUCUUCUUUGCUUUUUGUUAUUCUCAUUGCUUAGCACCAAUUCAUACCCAUUAUAUACAGUCAAUAAAUAUUAUUAAAAAAUAAUCCUUGAGUCUAACCAGUUCCAAUUAGUGAUCAGCUCAUCACUUUUCCAAUGAGCCUCUAAUGUGAAUGAAAACAAGUGAGACACACUGGUAAUUAUUACAUUAAAUUAACUGAUAUCACAGUUGUUAGUUUAAAAUAAAGCAUACUUCUUUUAAGGUAUUAGUUUCUUCGAAUGUGAGAGAACCUUUUCAUUAUACCGGUAGAGUUCCUUCUUUUACCUGUGAAAAUAAGUAAACUAAAAAAAAAAAAAAAAAAAAAAAAUCUAACAAUGGGAACUGUAGGCUGGUAAAAAAAGAAUGAGAGAGAGACAGAGAGUAGGAAUUUAAAAACCUGAACAAAAAUUAAACAGUUAAAGAAUAAGAAAAAAGAAAAACAUAUAUCUCUUUGUCUGGAAAGAGAUUCCUUAAAAAUAGCCAUCAACAAUAUUUAAAAGAUAAUUAUUCUUCAUAGAGUCAUUUUAUAAAAUGUUAAUUACUUCUUUCCAGCUAUCUUUGUGACUUACUAUCUUAGUUAUACAUCUUCCUUGUUAUGUUUUUCUCUCCGUUUAACCAUUUUUUUGUAUCUUAUGUAAACAUUCUAAAAUAUUAUAUGCCUCUUUUAUAAUUUGAUUGCAUUUUUUAUGUAGUGACUGCUUCAUGAUAUUUAAAGGUUACUAUGUGAUUUAAACAAGACAAAUGUUUCCUAGCUUCUGCUGAUUGCCAUUUUGAGUUUAACUUAGUCAUUAACAUGCAAUUAACUUAAAAACUUUUAUCACUAUUAUUGCUCAGUGCAAUGCUGUAACAUGCUGGGCAUCUUCCUUAUUUAAAAACAAUCAUUUCUGUGUUCUCUUAAGAAUGAAAUAUAGUCUUUGUAAUUUAACCAGAUGUGAAAUGACAUUUCCUCCCUUCCUAAAAACUUUCUGAUUCUUGCAAAUGAACUCUUCAUUACUCAGGUAAUUUCUUACAAUCUUGACUUUAAGAAAUUAAAGUUAGUUUUACUGAAUUAUUCUAAGUACCACAAUUUCAGCAUGCAGAAUUUACAAGUAUUACAAAAUGGUCAAACAGCUUAAAAUGCUUUUCUUUAAGAAUUUCCACCUAUAUUGAUUUUUUGUACCUUGUGAGUAUGAUAUUCAAAUAUGAAAUAUGUCUUUUUUCCUUUUGUUGACCAUUUAAAAUUCUGUUUUCCUCUGUAAUGUUUUGGAGCCUGGUUCUGAAAGAUGGCAUUUCCUUGUGAGGUACAAAGGAUGCAUUAGCUCUUUGGCUCUAUUUCUAACUGCUUUUCCUUCUGGGUCUUAAAAAAGACAUUUAAAAAGUUUCUCAUAACAUUUAUUUGAAAUAUAAAUCAUAAUUAUUUCAGCUUGUAGUUAACAUGUAGUAAUAACUGAUAGAUUGCAGUCUGAAUUGUGUUAAUAAAUUUCAUUUUUCCUGAGAAAUUUCCUAAGAACAGCUUUUAUUCCUAAAUUAUAUAUGUAUAGAAUUGUAAUAAUAUAUAUUAAAUAUAUAUUGUGGCAAUAAAAUGAAAUGCAUAGUAAAAUUCUUAUUGCCUCGACUGAAUCAUUUGUCCAACAAAUACUUAUUAAACAUUUACUAUUUGCCAGGCAUUCUACAUGCUGAUGAAAUGGUGGUGAACAAUAUAGAUAUAGACAGAUAUUCUACCCUCUUCGAGACUUUGCUGUUAGUGAAGAGAGUAAGACAAUAAAUAGGUGAAAAAAAGGAAAUGUAAUUUCAAAUAGUAAUUGGUGAAGAAUUUAUCGAUUUCUUCUAGAUUUUCUAGUUUAUUUGCAUAGAGAUGUUUGUAGUAAUCUCUGAUGGUAGUUUGUAUUUCUGUGGGACCGGUGGUGAUAUCCCCUUUAUCAUUUUUUAUUGCGUCUAUUUGAUUCUUCUCUCUUUUUUUCUUUAUUCGUCUUGCCAGUGGUCUAUCAAUUUUGUUGAUCCUUUCAAAAAAUCAGCUCCUGGAUUCAUUAAUUUUUUGAAGGGUUUUUUGUGUCUCUAUUUCCUUCAGUUCUGCUCUGAUUUUAGUUAUUUCUUGCCUUCUGCUAGCUUUUGAGUGUGUUUGCUCUUGGUUUUCUAGUUCUUUUAAUUGUGAUGUUAGGGUGUCAGUUUUGGAUCUUUCCUGCUUUCUCUUGUGGGCAUUUAGUGCUAUAAAUUUCCCUCUACACACUGCUUUGAAUGAGUCCCAGAGAUUCUGGUAUGUUGUGUCUUUGUUCUCGUUGGUUUCAAAGAACAUCUUUAUUUCUGCCUUCAUUUCGUUAUGUAUCCAGUAGUCAUUCAGGAGCAGGUUGUUCAGUUUCCAUGUAGUUGAGCAGUUUUGAGUGAGUUUCUUAAUCCUGAGUUCUAGUUUGAUUGCACUGUGGUCUGAGAGACAGUUUGUUAUAAUUUCUGUUCUUUUACAUUUGCUGAGGAGAGCUUUACUUCCAAGUAUGUGGUCAAUUUUGGAAUAGGUGUGGUGUGGUGCUGAAAAAAAUGUAUAUUCUGUUGAUUUGGGGUGGAGAGUUCUGUAGAUGUCUAUUAGGUCUGCUUGGUGCAGAGCUGAGUUCAAUUCCUGGGUAUCCAUGUUAACUUUGUGUCUCGUUGAUCUGUCUAAUGUUGACAGUGGGGUGUUAAAGUCUCCCAUUAUUAAUGUGUGGGAGUCUAAGUCUCUUUGUAGGUCACUCAGGACUUGCUUUGUGAAUCUGGGUGCUCCUGUAUUGGGUGCAUAUAUAUUUAGGAUAGUUAGCUCUUCUUGUUGAAUUGAUCCCUUUACCAUUAUGUAAUGGCCUUCUUUGUCUCUUUUGAUCUUUGUUGGUUUAAAGUCUGUUUUAUCAGAGACUAGGAUUGCAACCCCUGCCUUUUUUUGUUUUCCAUUGGCUUGGUAGAUCUUCCUCCAUCCUUUUAUUUUGAGCCUAUGUGUGUCUCUGCAUGUGAGAUGGGUUUCCUGAAUACAGCACACUGAUGGGUCUUGACUCUUUAUCCAAUUUGCCAGUGUGUGUGUUUUAAUUGGAGCAUUUAGUCCAUUUACAUUUAAAGUUAAUAUUGUUAUGUGUGAAUUUGAUCCUGUCAUUAUGAUGUUAGCUGGUUAUUUUGCUCGUUAGUUGAUGCAGUUUCUUCCUAGUCUCGAUGGUCUUUACAUUUUGGCAUGAUUUUGCAGUGGCUCGUACAAUUUGUGCCUUUCCAUGUUGAGUGCUUCCUUCAGGAGCUCUUUUAGAGCAGGUCUGGUGGUGACAAAAUCUCUCAGCAUUUGCUUGUCUGUAAAGUAUUUUAUUUCUCCUUCACUUAUGAAGCUUAGUUUGGCUGGAUAUGAAAUUCUGGGAUGAAAAUUCUUUUCUUUAAGAAUGUUGAAUGUUGGCCCCAACUCUCUUCUGGCUUGUAGAGUUUCUGCCAAGAGAUCCUCUGUUAGUCUGAUGGGCUUCCCUUUGAGGGUAACCCGACCUUUCUCUCUGGCUGCCCUUAACAUUUUUUCCUUCAUUUCACCUUUGGUGAAUCUGACAAUUAUGUGUCUUGGAGUUGCUCUUCUUGAGGAGUAUCUUUGUGGCAUUCUCUGUAUUUCCUGAAUCUGAAUGUUGGCCUGCCUUGCUAGAUUGGGGAAGUUCUCCUGGAUUAUAUCCUGCAGAGUGUUUUCCAACUUGGUUCCAUUCUCCCCGUCACUUUCAGGUACACCAAUCAGACGUAGAUUUGGUCUUUUCACAUAGUCCCAUAUUUCUUGGAGGCUUUGCUCAUUUCUUUUUAUUCUUUUUUCUCUAAACUUCCCUUCUCGCUUCAUUUCAUUCAUUUCAUCUUCCAUCGCUGAUACCCUUUCUUCCAGUUGAUCGCAUCAGCUCCUGAGGCUUCUGCAUUCUUCAUGUAGUUCUCGAGCCUUGGCUUUCAGCUCCAUCAGCUCAGGCCAGGGCAAUUAGGCAGGAGAAGGAAAUAAAGGGUAUUCAAUUAGGAAAAGAGGAAGUCAAAUUGUCCCUGUUUGCAGAUGACAUGAUUGUAUAUCUAAAAAACCCCAUUGUCUCAACCCAAAAUCUCCUUAAGCUGAUAAGCAACUUCAGCAAAAUCUCAGGAUACAAAAUCAGUGUACAAAAAUCACAAGCAUUCUUAUACACCAAUAACAGACAAACAGAAUGGGAGUGAACUCCCAUUCACAAUUGCUUCAAAGAGAAUAAAAUACCUAGGAAUCCACCUUACAAGGGAUGUGAAGGACCUCUUCAAGGAGAACUACAAACCACUGCUCAAUGAACUAAAAGAGGAUACAAACAAAUGGAAGAACAUUCCAUGCUCAUGGGUAGGAAGAAUGAAUAUCGUGAAAAUGGCCAUACUGCCCAAGGUAAUUUAUAGAUUCAAUGCCAUCCCCAUCAAGCUACCAAUGACUUUCUUCACAGAAUUGGAAAAAACUACUUUAAAGUUCAUAUGGAACCAAAAAAGAGCCCGCAUCACCAAGCUAAUCCUAAGCCAAAAGAACAAAGCUGGAGGCAUCACACUACCUGACUUCAAACUAUACUACAAGGCAACAGUAACCAAAACAGCAUGGUACUGGUACCAAAACAGAGAUCUAGAUCAAUGGAACAGAACGGAGCCCUCAGAAAUAAUGCCGCAUAUCUACAACUAUCUGAUCUUUGACAAACCUGAGAAAAACAAGCAAUGGGGAAAGGAUUCCCUAUUUAAUAAAUGGUGCUGGGAAAACUGGCUAGCCAUAUGUAGAAAGCUGAAACUGGAUCCCUUCCUUACACCUUAUACAAAAAUCAAUUCAAGAUGGAUUAAAGACUUAAAUGUUAGACCUAAAGCCAUAAAAACCCUAGAAGAAAACCUAGGCAUUACCAUUCAGGACAUAGGCAUGGGCAAGGACUUCAGGUCUAAAACACCAAAAGCAAUGGCAACAAAAGACAAAAUUGACAAAGGGGAUCUAAUUAAACUAAAGAGCUUCUGCACAGCAAAAGAAACUACCAUCAGAGUGAACAGGCAACCUACAAAAUGGGAGAAAAUUUUCGCAACCUUCUCAUCUGACAAAGGACUAAUAUCCAGAAUCUACAAUGAACUCAAACAAAUUUACAAGAAAAAAACAAACAACCCCAUCAAAAAGUGGGCGAAGGACAUGAACAGACACUUCUCAAAGGAAGACAUUUAUGCAGCCGAAAAACACAUGAAGAAAUGCUCACCAUCACUGGCCAUCAGAGAAAUGCAAAUCAAAACCACAAUGAGAUAUCAUCUCACACCAGUUAGAAUGGCGAUCAUUAAAAAGUCAGGAAACAACAGGUGCUGGAGAGGAUGUGGAGAAAUAGGAACACUUUUACACUGUUGGUGGGACUGUAAACUAGUUCAACCCCUGUGGAAGUCAGUGUGGCGAUUCCUCAGGGAUCUAGAACUAGAAAUACCAUUUGACCCAGCCAUCCCAUUACUGGGUAUAUACCCAAAGGACUAUAAAUCAUGCUGCUAUAAAGACACAUGCACACGUAUGUUUAUUGCGGCACUAUUCACAAUAGCAAAGACUUGGAACCAACCCAAAUGUCCAACAAUGAUAGACUGGAUUAAGAAAAUGUGGCACAUAUACACCAUGGAAUACUAUGCAGCCAUAAAAAAUGAUGAGUUCAUGUCCUUUGUAGGGACAUGGAUGAAACUGGAAAUCAUCAUUCUCAGUAAACUAUUGCAAGAACAAAAAACCAAACACCGCAUAUUCUCACUCAUAGUUGGGAAUUGAACAAUGAGAACAUAUGGACACAGGAAGGGGAACAUCACACUCUGGGGACUGUUGUGGGGUGGGGGGAGAGGGGAGGGAUAGCAUUGGGAGAGAUACCUAAUGCUAGAUGACGAGUUAGUGGGUGCAGCGCACCAGCAUGGCACAUGUAUACAUAUGUAACUAACCUGCACAUUGUGCGCAUGUACCCUAAAACUUAAAGUAUAAUAAAAAAAAAAAACCAGUAAUUGGUGAAGAAAGUAAAAAGGGUAUAUAACAGAACUUGCCUAUUUGGGUGGGGAAUGGUGUAUACUACAAUCAAGCAAGCUCUCUUCUGUAAAGAAGGGACUUUUAAAGUGAGACCUAAUUAAUGAAAAGCAAGCAGUCAUGCAAAAAGCUGAGGAGGAGCAUCCUACGAAGAGAAAACAGCACGUUCCAAGGCCAGCUUGACUGGAUCCUGUUUGGUAGGAGGAAUAAGGCCAGUGGUGUUGGCAAGACACAGAGUUAAAUUAAGAAUAUUUUUUCUUCUUUUUUUUUUUUUUUUUUUUUUUGAGACGGAGUCUCGCUCUGUCGCCCAGGCUGGAGUGCAGUGGCGGGAUCUCAGCUCACUGCAAGCUCCGCCUCCUGGGUUCACGCCAUUCUCCUGCCUCAGCCUCCCAAGUAGCUGGGACUACAGGCGCCCGCCACUACGCCCGGCUAAUUUUUUAUAUUUUUAGUAGAGACGGGGUUUCACCGUUUUAGCCGGGAUGGUCUCGAUCUCCUGACCUCGUGAUCCACCCGCCUCGGCCUCCCAAAGUCCUGGGAUUACAGGCGUGAGCCACCGUGCCCGGCCUAUUUUUUCUUCUUAACUGAAAUAAAUCACAAAUCAAUUCCUCAACCAAUGUGCAAUUAUUUAUUUUAAACUCCCUAUGCAUUGAGUGAGUCCCUUGGGAGACAGAAAAUAGUAAGUUUCUUUUAAAAAUAAUUUUCAAAUAUUUCAAAUCUAUAGAAUGUACAGAAACUAAUAAUAUAAUUAAUGUUCACCAGAUUUAAGAGACAUAACCUGUUCAUAUUUGACAUUACUUCUUCAGAUUCCUUUUCAGAAAUAAAAUGUUACAGAUAUACUUGAACUUUUUUGUAUGCCCUUACACUAUUCCCUUUCCUUUUAAGAGGUAAUUACCAUUGAGAAGUUUAUAUUUUUAUAAACUAUCCCUUCAUAAUUUUAUAAACCUUUCUUUGUGGUAAGAUAUAGACAUAGAGAAAUGGCAAAACCCAAAAAUAUAUGAAUCAUAUUCCAAAGUGCCAUUUAAUCAUCAUUCAAGCAAAGAAAGAAGAAUGUCAAGACAGAGAAGAACCCACCAUAUACUUCCUGAACAUCAUUCCCUCCUUUCACCCAGAAGUACAUUAUCCUGACUUUAAUAAUCCUUGCUUUCAAGCUUCUGUAAAGUAUUCUCACCAGUAAGUUACCUUUUCCUGUUUCAUGUAAAUGUAAUUGUAUAGUUUGUAGAGAUUUUGUCUGGCUUAUUUUCUUCAACAUAUUUGUGAAAUUCGUCUGUGUUGUUACAUUACAUGUCAUUGCAGUUUGUUAAUCUUCAUUGCUGUAAAUAUUUGUUUGUAUGCAAUAACACUAACCUUUCUAAUGUUGAUUGACAUUUGGAUUUCUUUCAGUUUUUUGACUAUUACAAAGAACACAGCUAUACAUAUUCUUGUACAUAACUCUUGGUUGCAUAGGUGCUCUCAUUAUUGUUGGAUAUACACCUAGGAGUGAAAUUGUUAAUUUAUAGGAUAUGUCUAUCCUGAAAUUUAGUAGAACCUUCUGAAUUGUUCUACAAAGUGGUUGUGCACAUUUAUAUUUCCACCAGCAGUGUAAGUAAUUUUAUUGUUCCAUGUCCUUACCAACUCUUGAUAUUUCAGUUCUUUCAAUUUCAGCCAUUCUGGGGGGUGUUUUUUUUUUAUCUCUCUCUGGUUUUAAUUUGUAUUUCUUUGGGACUAAUGAUCUUAAAGUCAUUUUCAUAUGCUUAUUGACUAUUUGGACAUCCUCUUUUGUAAAGUGUCUGAUUGAGUCUUAUUAUUUUAUUGUAUUUAUGUUAUGUUAUUUUAUUAUUUUUUGAGACAGGGUCUCACAUUGUUACCCAGGGUAGAGUGCAGUCAUGCAAUUAUUGCUCACUGUAACCUCAGAUGCCUGGGCUUAAGUGAUCCUCCUGCCUCAGCCUCCCAAGUGGCUAGGAGUACAGGUGUGCACCACCACACCUGACUAACUUUUUAAUUUUUUGUAGAGACGGGGGUCUCACUAUUUUGCGCAGGCUGGUCUUGAACUCCUGGCCUCGAGUAUCCUCGUGCUUUAGCCUCCCAAAGUGCUGAGUUUGUAGGCAGGAGCCACCAUGCUUGGUCUGUUUUCUUAUUGAUGUGUAGGAUUCUUCACAUUUUGUAGAAAAAUUUUAGGUUACUAGAUAUUGAAACUAUUUCCUUCUACUCUGUAGCUUGUCAUUUUACUCUCUUAAUGGCAUCUUUUGAUGUUGCCCAAAUUAUCAGUCUUUCCCUUUAUGAUUAGUACUUUCAUGUUCUGUUUAAGAAGAGUUUUCUUAUUCCCAAAUUAUGAAGAUAUGCUCCUAUGUUAUCUUCUAUACAUUUUUAUUGCUCUGUCUUUCACAUAUAGAACUAUAAUCCACCUGGAAUUGAUUUUAUAAAAUGUUUAUUUUUGUGAACAGUGUAAGGUGGGUGUUACGUUUUACUUUUUUCCUUGUGUGGGUAGCCAUUGUCGCAGCAUUAGAUAUUGAAAAGACUUCCUUCACUGCUCUGCCUUUACCUGUAUUGUAAAUCAAAUAUCCUUAUAUAUGUGUGUUAGUUUCUGUUCGUUCUGUCCCAUUGGUCUGUGUAUUCUUAUGCCCAUAUCACAUUAUCUUAUUGCAGCUCUAUCAUUUUUGAUAUUUGGCAAAGCAGAUUCUCUCUUCUUGCUCUUCUUUUUUUAAGAUUGUUGUGAUUGUUCUCAGUGUAUACACCCAUACACCAGUACCUCUGCACACACAGAUUUUAAUUGAGAGACUGCUCUAAAAUUAUAGGCACAUUUAGGGACAUCUGAUAUCUAUAUAAUAAUUAAUUUUGAAGUUCACAAACAUGGUAUAUUCUUUGAUUUAUUUAAGCCCUCUUUAAAAUUAAAGAAUUUCUAAAUGUGCCAUUAUUCUUUUAGAGUUUUCUAGAUAGAGGUCUUUUGCCUCCUUUGUUAGAGCUAUUCAUUCCUAGGUAUUUGAUAUUUUUGAUGUUAUUGGAAGUGUUCUUUUUUCAGUUCAUUUUCUAACUGUUUGUUACUAAUAAAUAGAAAUGUAUUCGAUGCUACAUUGACCUUGUAUUCACAAAUCUUAGUACUCUUGUUUAUUAAUUGUAAUAGUUUUUUAAUAUAAUCUUUGGGAUUAUUGACAGAUAAUAUCAGUAUAUCUUCUUCAGUUCUAAUCUUUGAGUGGAGGUUGUCAUAUCAGAUAUCCUUGUAUUAUUUCUGACCUCAAAAAGGAAGUUUGUAACAUUUUACUAUUUUCAUUAAUAUGAGUUUAUCAGAGAAACAUUUUCUGAGUUCUUAUUUUUCUUCACACAUCAUUAAUAUACUUCCAUUUUGAAAAACAUUUUCACUGGAUAUAGAUUUCUAUGUUGGAAGGUAUUUUCUUUUCUGUCAUUUUCAUUUGAACGUAGCAUUCAAUUGUCUUCUGGGCCCCAUUGUUUUUAUUGAAAAGUCCACUGUUAUUCCUUUGAGGGAAACAUUCUUUCCACCUUAUCUCCUAGCUUUGGCUACUUAAGAUUUCUACUUAUGUUUUCAGCACUUAUACUAUUAUGUUAUUGGGUACAGGCUUUUUUUUUUUUUUUUCAAUUGUGUGCUUGGGAUUUAUAUGGCUUUUUUGAUCUCUGGAUUAAGGUCUUCAGUUUUGGAAUCAUUUAUAUUAAACAGUUCUCCUUUUUUUUCUUCUUUAUCUCACUGACUCCAAUUACAUGUAUUUUAGAUCAUAUCACUGUUUUCUCUCUGUCUCAACUCCUAUUCUUUAUCUUCCUCUCUCUUUUCUUCAUGCCUGAUAACUCCAACAGCUGUAGUAUAAUUUGACCUGUUUUCACUACCUGUUUCUACUAGUUUUCAUUCAGGCAGUUUUGUUCCCUUUGGUGCCUGGUUACUUUUUAUUAUAUACUACUGUACUCAAAAUUGUUUAUAGAUUUUAUCUUUAUUCAGAGAGAACUUGUGUUUGUACCUAUAGGUGCCUUGGAGACACUAGCAAUCAUGGAUCAACCUAAACAAUUUCCAGAAUUGACACAAUUCAAGCAAAACUGCCGAUUUCUACAAGGACCUGUGUACUUUUAGUUUAUCUGUACUUUAAGGGUAAAGCACCUGGGGGAUCCAGUCCAAACCUAGAUAGAUCCACCAGCUUUCCUGACCUGCUCUCUAAUGGGGGAUCCUUGGACCCCAAUUUUUGUUUCACUAGCACAGCAAAUCUGUUAAGAACAAUCUUCUAUAAUCAGCAAAUGCCCUUGACAUAAAGAAGCUGAAAUUCUGCUUUUUUUUUCCAGACCUCCUUCUUCUUUGGUUCUUGGUCCAGUAACUUUGUAAUAUUUUCUUAUCGUCUCUAUUACCAUACACAUAUUUUAAAAAUAUUUUCUACAGUUUUUCCUGGUUUCCUCAGUGGGAUAAUUGGUUUGAGGAAGUUAAAGUUUGCUCUAUUCACAGUUCAUGCCACGUACCAUAUGCUUCAAAACUUGAAUGUCUACUACUUACCAGAACCUAAUCUGGAAAUUUGGGUUAUAUCAUUGAAAAACUAAUUCUUUGUGAUUGAAAUUUUACAAUCUGUUUAACUAUUGAAAUUAUAUAUUUAAAUCAUUUGAAAUAUUACUAAGUGUUAUGGAUAAAUAGAGGAAAAUAAGGGAAUUUGGGAAUAGGCCACUACUUUCACAACUGUUCUUUGAAUUUUAUGAAAAUCCUGGAAUAUAGGUGAGCAUUUGUAGAUAGAAACUGAUUAUCAGAGAUCAUAAAUACUUUAACUAAAGUGACAGAUUUAGUGGCUAGUUAGGAAUUGGCAGGAA